GUACAAACGCAGCUUCAUUUCUGCCCUGUGUUUGGAAGAGCAACCAUACUGUUGUCUGAUCUAACAAACAACAAUGAAGAGUUUAUUUCUUCUUUUCAUCCUGAUUAUUGUCCUGUAUGAGGCAGCAGCAAGGAUUCAUUCAAUGAAGUAUUUCUACACCGGGUCGUCUCAAGUCCCAAACUUCCCAGAGUUUGUGAUUGUUGGGUUGGUUGAUGAUCUUCAGAUGGUUUAUUAUGACAGCAUCACCAUGAAAACAGAACUCAAACAGGAGUGGAUGAACAAAGUCACAGCAGAUGAUCCACAGUACUUGGAGAGGAACACUGGAAACUUUCUGGGUUCCCAGCAGACCUUCAAAGCUGGCAUUGAGAUUUUAAAGCCGCGCUUCAACCAGACUGGAGGUGUCCACAUUUACCAGUGGAUGUACGGCUGUGAAUGGGAUGAUGAGACUGGUCAAACUGAUGGAUAUGAUCAAUUUGGUUAUGAUGGAGAAGACUUCAUAUCAUUGGACCUGAAGACCGGGACAUGGAUCGCAUCAACACCUCAGGCUGUCAUCACCAAAUACAAGUGGGCCAGAAAUACAGCCUACACUGACUAUUGGAAGAACUACAUCAGCCAGCAGUGUCCUGACUGGAUAAAGAAGUAUGUUAACUAUGGAAGGAGUUCUCUGAUGCGCACAGAUCGUCCCACAGUGUCCUUCCUGCAGAAGUCUCCCACCGCCCCAGUCACCUGUCACGCUACAGGUUUCUACCCCGACAGAGCCGCGAUGCACUGGAAGAAAGACGGAGUGGAAAUUCAUGACAACGUGGACAUGGGUGAGAUCCUCCCCAACAACGACGGAACCUUCCAGAUGAGCAUUGACCUUUCAUCGAUCCCACCUGAAGAGUGGGAGAAGUACGAAUGUGUGUUUGAACUUUCUGGUGUUGAUGAUAUUGUCACCAGACUGCGUAACGUUCGGUCUAACUUGGACAAACCUGGAACUGAAGGAGAUCCAUUCCCUACUGGUGCUGUUAUCGGAGUUGUUGUGGGACUGCUGCUCCUCAUCUGCAUUAUUGGAGUCGUCAUAUGGAGAAGAAGGAACAAUGAAGGCUUUAAACGUGCUAACACUUCAGACACUUCAUCUGAUCCUGACCUUCGGGUUUACACCUAAUGACAGUGAAAACUGAGUCGUGUAAGUUUAACUCCUCACACUAAAUAUACAGUGAGACCAGCGAUGAUUGAAGAAUGACAGAUAGAACCUAAAAAGUCUGUGUCAUUAAAAGUUAUUUUGUUGUUUCUUGUGACAAAAAUAAGAAUAAUUAGUCAUAUGCAUUAUUUUCACACCAUAGAAUCUUCUUUUUCAUCUUUUUCCCUGUAAUCAUGUUUCAUUCCAGUAGGAUUGGCUUUGACAGCUGUUAGUACUGAUACAGCUGUGGCUUUUUGUGACACAGUUCAUCAGAAACAUUGUGUCUAGAUAAUCCUCCACUGUGUGAUUCCAAAUAUCUGGAGCAAAAUGAGGCUGUUUUUCAGUUGUUUCUGCAGAUGUUUUAUGGACUCUGAGACUAAAGACAUUAACAAAGAAACUGGAAAGACCACAGAGCCUCACAAUGUUUGAGUUUUAUGUAAAUGAACGAUCUAGGAACAUUCUCAUUUUUUUUUUAGAUUAUAUCAGUUAUGUAGACUUUGGUUUAACACUUUUUCAGGAUUCUUUUUAAGGAAUCACAGCCUUGUGUGUAAAUGAUCUCUGACUACAGAUGUUUGAGAGGUGAUUUAUUUCAGAAUAUAUUUUAUUCAUUGCAUACAAGUGAUACCAAGGAGAUGUUUUGUAUAGUGUAAAUGAAUGUAAAAUGCUUUAUUUUAAUUUUAUCAAUAGUUUUGUUUUUGAAUCACACUUUUUAUGGGAUUUGAGUUUGUUUAGGGCAUGUUCUGCUGUUUUAUGUGUUUAUUUAGGAGAUUCUUGGGGACUAUAUUGUACUUUUUUUUUUUUUUGCUGUCAUUUCUAAUACUUGUACUGAUUCCAGGCUUAUUGAUAAAUAAAGUCCUUCCAGACAUCCAA